rnacentral:rRNA from 1 species
CCUACGGGAGGCAGCAGUAAGGGAUAUUGGUCAAUGGGGGAAACCCUGAACCAGCAACGCCGCGUGAGGGAAGACGGUUUUCGGAUUGUAAACCUCUGUCCUCUGUGAAGAUGAUGACGGUAGCAGAGGAGGAAGCUCCGGCUAACUACGUGCCAGCAGCCGCGGUAAUACGGAGGGAGCGAGCGUUGUCCGGAUUUACUGGGUGUAAAGGGUGCGUAGGCGGCUUGGCAAGUCAGUAGUGAAAUGAAGGGGCGUAACCCAUGAAGUGCAAUUGAAACUGUCGGGAUGGAGUGAAGGAGAGGUAGGCGGAAGGCGGGGGGUAGAGGUGAAAGGCGUAGAGAUCAGGAGGAA